AUGCAGACAACUGCGGCGGGCACUUCUUCAUCGGCUGGGAGAGGUCGGGGGAGGACGAAGAAGACUGGUAGAGGUGGACGUGGCAGCGGGAGAGGAAGGAAGGCUGCUAUGCCUUCCUCGCCGCCACCCUCAGCUGAUUCACCCGACUACAUGACUGCUCCUUCUGACGUGGAGCUGUCUCGGACUCCGGUCCAUGAGCCUCCGGUCGCUGAUCCUUCGCCCCACCAGACUCGGGUCGCCGAUCCUUCGCCCCACGUGAGUCCAGUCCCAGAGUCUUCGUCCCAGAAGACUCCGGUCACAGGGUCUUCGUCCCAGAAGACUCCGGUCACGGGUUCUUCGUCCCAGAAGACUCCGAUCCCGCAGUCUUCUUCCCACGAGACUCCGGAGGCUAGUGGCCCGGAGGAUGGUAGCGAGGACACCUUUUCAGAUGAUAGCUACAGCGACGACGAUGGUUGA
rnacentral:rRNA from 1 species